CCAUAUCAUCAUCCAUGGCCAUUGGCCACCACUAUCUCCUGAACUCCUGUUGAGUUCAAAUCUUUAUAUCCUAAAUUACCAGUGAAACGUCCUUUGUUGUCAAUUUUCCAUACCAGAGUAUCAUUUUCCCUAGUUAAAUUGUUGAAAGUGUCCAAUUGUGUCAUAGAAACCUGCUGCUAUCUUGUCAUCUCCCAAUCAUUCAGAUAUCUUCUAAGCUGAAGACUCCAGCCUUGUCUUGUCCACAAGUCAACUACUGCAGUUUGUUGAAAUUGGCACAAAAUGUGCAAAUUUGGAUACAUUUGUUUCAAAGGUUCUUGUCCACACCAUCUGGAAUGUCAUUCUAGAAGGAAACCUUCGGACCAUUACCAAUUUCGAAAUUGGAUUUGGUUAAAACUAAAAAUUGGAUCUUUGCAGGUUCAGCCCAUAUUCGCCAUUUUGGGUUCAAGUAUUAAAAAGGGCAGCCCGGUGCACUAAAGCUACUGCUAUGCACGGUGUCCGGGAAAGGGCCCCACUACAAGGGUACUCAUAAUCGUACAAAGUCUCAAGACCUGAAUAACAGAAUUGUUCUGCAAAGAACAAUAACCAAAAUAAAAUAUUAGAAAGACAUAUAUAUAUAUAUAUAUAUAUAUAAGACUUUCAGACCAAUUAUGGAUUGGAGAGCAACGUAUUCAUGAGGGAUUUGGCCCCUAAACCAAUUACUACCUAGAUCUCUGCAUCAUCCCAAAAGCUAUGUUAAUUUGGAUAAAGUUCCCAAUAUACGUGAUACCAGAAAAAAUUUAAUUAUCAAACGGAAUAGAGAGAGAACUUUCUAUGUGCAUCAUAUAUAGUAAGUAAUUCACAUACACACUCAGAAACACAAUGCCCAUCCGGAGAGAGGGGGAGAGAGUACGCACAUAUAUGUUAAAGAUGUGCUAAUGGAUUUCGGCACUUCUCCAGAUAAUUCAUUGAAACUCAAGUCCCUAUAUCAGAGAGAAAAGAGACAGAUGUAAUUAUCCAAUACUCUAAAUAUAGGAAAUUAAGAAAGCCUUUAGGAACAUAUACCAACAACCAGUUUCCCAGUUUUUAAGAACAACUCAACUCAAAUGAUUUCUGCAAUUGUGGGUCUGGUUCAAGUUGAUUUCCUUUCAAGCACUUCCCCGUUGCAAAAGUUGGCAUUACUCUAAAAUUAUGCUGAUAGUUUGCCGGAGAACUGCAACCGCCGGGGUCGGGUCGGGUCGGGUCGGGUCGGGUCGAUUGUGAUGGUGCAGUCGAGGGUUUUGAGAGAAAGCGGGCUUUUGAGGUUGUAGCUGCUUUUGAGAAAAAGGGUUUUGAGAAAAGAGGCGCUUUUUGAGAAAAUAUGGAUUCGCGGGUUUAUUCACUGACUUUCGGUUUAUUUAUUUAUUUUAAGCAUAGCGGGGGUUUCAAUCGCUUCAAAAAUAUUUAUAGUUUAUUUUUAAUGAUUGCAGGGGUUUUAACCGCUGCAAUUAUAAUUAAAAUAGCAGAGGUAAAUUUGAUAUAUUUGUGGAGGUUAAUAUCGACCCCACAAUAAAACCUCCAUAAAAUAUACUUUUUUUUGUAGUGAAUAGGACUCUAUUAAGGAAAUACUUCUAUAAAUAUUGAGAUAUACAUUAAAUUAGAGAAGAAACUGAUUUACUUAUUGGGAAAAUAUGAUAGAUGCUCAUGUAACUUGAUUCGGUUGCAUGUCUAGAUUGGUGGAUGCUUAAUUUUUUAACCCUCAACUUCUUCAUUAUUUUUGUCAACAUAAUAGAAUUCAAUAUGUGUGUAUGUAUAUAGCUUAUUUGUUUUCAUUCAAGUUAUUCUUUAGUGUCAAAAUUUUCGUUCAGACAAGAAUUAUUUUCAUCAAAACUGAAGUUUUGUGAUCACUAUUGUAUUAUUUUGUUGUAAUUUACAAGUCGGAGAUGAAUUUACAGGUGGUAAAUGAAUGUCGGUCGGCUUUGAGAAUUUUUUUAGGUAAAUGUUAGGUUUAAUUGUAUUGUUUUUAUAUCUCUGUUUUGAGAAUUUUUUUUGUGUAAAAGUAAAGUUCAGUUGUAUUAUUUUGAUAUCUCUAUUAUCGUAUUAUUUUGUUAUAGUUUACAGGUGGUAGAUGAGUGUCGGAUGGCUUUGACGAAUUUUUUGUGUAAAGCUUAGAUUUAAUUAUAUUGUUUUGAUGUCUCUAUUAUCGUAUUAUUUUGUUGCAGCUUACAGGUGAUAGAUGAAUGUCGAUCAAUUUUGAGAAUUUUUUUCGGUAAAGAUUAGGUUUAAUUAAACAAAUUCUCCAAAAGAAGUUGAAUUUAAUUAUUAUAUUCAUCUUUAUUAUGAAAACAAAUAUCCUAUUUAGUGUAACGUCUGAACUCAAUAAAAUGAAGAACAAAUGCGAGACGCGUACAUCUACACUAAUAUGGAUACAUUUGUUUCAAAGGUUCUUGUCCACACCAUCUGGAAUGUCAUUCUAGAAGGAA
rnacentral:lncRNA from 1 species